GGACGCCAGCGCCCGCGGCUCCAGGUCGCUGGCCACGAUGGAGUAGGAGACGUGGCCGUUGGGUCCCAGGUCGGGGUCGGAGGCGCUGACUUGGGCGAUAGAGGCUCCAGGAGGAUUGUUCUCAACCACGUGGACCACCUCUCCAGACUGAGGAGCAUGUCUGCAUAGUUGGGCUGGGGGAAGAUCAAGUGACUCUCCCUGGAGUCCGCGGUGAGGGAGACCUCGUGGGAAUACGUCUUCAGGAAAGCCCGCACGCCAUCCACGCCCACAAAGCGCGAGGCUGGCACGCCAGCCAAUCCAACCCCCGCAGCCUGGAGCAGACGGGACGAAUGCCAGCGCCUCAGCCUGAGUCCCAGCAGCACGAUCACAAAGGCAAGGAAGACGCAGGAGACUGCGGCCACCGCCACCACCAGGUACAGCGUGAGACCUGAGGCAUCAGGGUCAGCUGGGGGCUCGAGACUGCCCAGAUCGGCCAGGACGUCUGGAAUGCUGUCGGCCACCGCCACGGUGAGCGUGACGGUGGCCGAGAGAGGGGGUUGGCCGUGGUCUUGCACUGCCACCACUAGGCUCUGCUUGAGCGCAUCUCUGUCCUGCAGGGCCCGCGCUGUGCGCACCUCGCCCGUGUGCAGCCCCACCGCGAAAAGCCCUGGCUCGCUGGCCUUGAGCAGACGGUAGGACAACCAGGCGUUCUGGCCAGAGUCUCUAUCCACCGCCACCACCUUGGUUACCAGGGUAAAGACUCAUUUUAUCCAUCAGGAUGUUAAAGUUCACCAGGCACCGUGCACUCUGAGCGCAGAGCUCCUCCCGGUCUAUUCUGCCUGCAGUGACCAAGCUGCCGCUUCGCGGAUUCAGAGCGAAAAGCUGUGUCCUACCUCUGGAGACGAUGCGGAUUCCGUGCUCUGCCAGUUCCCGGGGCUCCAGGCCCAGAUCCUUAGCGAUAUUACCCACAAAAGACCCUGUGUCUGUUUCCUCCGGCAAAGAGUAGAAAAUAUGUCCUGCCCAAGCUUCUCUCCGGGUCCCCAGGAGGAUGGAGAGCAGGAUGAAUCCUCUGUAGUCUCGACCCCUCUUCAGAGUCGCCAUUGUUGUCCUGCUGAUCUUGUUAGACACUGGACUAUCUCCUUUUGCGCUUAUGGAUGCCAGUGUGUCAGCGUGGAAUCCUUUGUAUUCAUAAGAGAAGCCCGGAAUUUAGUAUAAUAGAGACCGGAGUUUGAUGCAGCUUGGAAGAGAA